rnacentral:tRNA from 1 species
AGGAGUUUAGGAUAAUAUAAACCAUAGACCUUCAAAGCCUAAAAAAAAGAUGCAAACUCUUUAACUCCUG